GGUGCUAUAGUGUAGUGGUUAUCACUCGGGAUUUUGAUUCGUGCAUUCCCGAAACCCAGGUUCGAACCCUGGUAGCACCU
rnacentral:tRNA from 1 species